rnacentral:rRNA from 1 species
UACCAGCACCCCGAGUGGUCGGGACGAUUAUUGGGCCUAAAGCAUCCGUAGCCGGUUCUGCAAGUCCCCCGUUAAAUCCAGCUGCUCAACAGAUGGGCCGCGGUGGAUACUCCAGAGCUAGGAGGCAGGAGAGGCAAGCGGUACUCAGUGGGUAGGGGUAAAAUCCGUUGAUCCAUUGAAGACCACCAGUGGCGAAGGCGGCUUGCCAGAAUGCGCUCGACGGUGAGGGAUGAAAGCUGGGGGAGCAAACCGG